CCUACGGGGGGCUGCAGUGGGGAAUAUUGCACAAUGGGCGCAAGCCUGAUGCAGCCAUGCCGCGUGUGUGAAGAAGGCCUUCGGGUUGUAAAGCACUUUCAGCGGGGAGGAAGGCGGUGAGGUUAAUAACCUCAUCGAUUGACGUUACCCGCAGAAGAAGCACCGGCUAACUCCGUGCCAGCAGCCGCGGGAAUACGGAGGGUGCAAGCGUUAAUCGGAAUUACUGGGCGUAAAGCGCACGCAGGCGGUCUGUCAAGUCGGAUGUGAAAUCCCCGGGCUCAACCUGGGAACUGCAUUCGAAACUGGCAGGCUAGAGUCUUGUAGAGGGGGGUAGAAUUCCAGGUGUAGCGGUGAAAUGCGUAGAGAUCUGGAGGAAUACCGGUGGCGAAGGCGGCCCCCUGGACAAAGACUGACGCUCAGGUGCGAAAGCGUGGGGAGCAAACAGGAUUAGAUACCCCAGUAGUC
rnacentral:rRNA from 1 species